UACGUAGGGGGCAAGCGUUGUCCGGAAUUAUUGGGCGUAAAGAGCGUGUAGGCGGUCCGGUAAGUCCGCUGUGAAAGCCCGGGGCUCACCCCCGGAAGUGCAUUGGAAACUGGUGGACUCGAGUCCCGGAGAGGAGGGUGGAAUUCCUGGUGUAGCGGUGAAAUGCGUAGAUAUCAGGAGGAACACCGGUGGCGAAGGCGGCCCUCUGGACGGUGACUGACGCUGAGACGCGAAAGCGUGGGGAGCAAACAGG
rnacentral:rRNA from 1 species